CUCUUGAACUUUAUCAUGCUGUUAAUAAAAGUUAUAAUGAUUCUCGGAACCCUAAAUCCGCCGCCGUAACUACACCGUCUUCCUCCGCAGCCUCUGAUCGCGAUGGUACUCCUUCUCCUCUUGGUAGCCCUCGCACCGCCAUCUUCGGCAACGGUAAUUUUUAAUUAAUUGUUAUCAUUAAAUUCAUUUCUCUACUUUCAUCAAAUUCUCAAUCAAUUAACUAGUUUAUUUAACUCUUGGAAUACAUUGAAUCAAUUCAUUUACAAUUUUUUUUACUGGUGUGGACAUGUCUGUGUAUGUGCUUUAUUGUUUAUUACUAAUCAAUUUUGAAUUAAGAAUGGUGUUUAUUUUUGCUGAUUAAGUUUGUUAUUAUUGUUUUUUUAUGUGUGUUAUGUUAUGAAGAUGAUGAUCCACAAACGGUGAAGACAAGGUUGAGACAGUGGGCACAGGUUGUUGCUUGUGCGGUUCGUCAAAGUUGAAUGAUUAUGCAUGAUGAUUGUUGUGAUGGCAAUGAUGAUGGAGCAUGAAUGGGUGAUUAUUGAUGAUUAACCGGAGAAAAAUCCAACCAUGGUUAUUAAUUUAACCAUACAAGUUACAAUCAUGUGUGAUAUAAAAUGACAAAAUUUC
rnacentral:lncRNA from 1 species